ensembl:lncRNA
GUUACACUUACUCUCCCUGCAUCACAAUGCUGAAAUAACACUAAUAAACCAGUGUGUCCAAUGCACAGGCAUAUACACACUCAGGGCCAAAUCCUGCUGUACCCCUAGAGCUGCCCUUUGCUUCAGGUCAGGGGCCUUGGUGCCAGUGGACAUACUUGUCUUGGCCUUGCUAUACUUAUGUGAAAGAUGAGGACUGGUAUUGAUGGACAUCAUGGCACUGCCACCUCUGAAAUGUCUUCCUUCACCUCCUCCAUGUCUUUGGGAGUUCUGCAUGAUAACCUUCGAGGUGUCAAGGUGGGAGGGUCAGACAUCCAGCUCUCUUACCAACCAGUGGGACACACUGACGGAGAAGGAGGAAAGGAGCCCCAACAGAGUAAAAGUUAAACCUGGACCAACACAGAGUCCCUCAGCAACCCCUCUUCUCUAGAGUGCAGGGGAUACUGGGUACUGCUACAUCUGCUUUCACUUACUUCAAGUCUAUCCCUCUUUCCCAGCAAAAGCUCAGGGUUACUUCUGGAUUCCAGAGCAGGCUCCAGGCUCUGACUCCAAGGCUGUAGAUGUCAUACCCUUGGUUAAAUAUUGAGAGUGUGAGGCAGGGCUAGUGGAGAUUGAGGGGAGAGAAGUCU